UCAGGCCCUUCUGCUGGAAAGUCAACUAUUUCAGGCUCUCUCCUUCGAAUCUCAUGAAUAAACAAUGCCUGCACUUAAAGUCCCAGAGUGCCCACGUCCAGACCUGAAAUUAACUCCAUUGGCCUCCAGCAGACCCCGAACUAGCCUCGUGCAUUAAGCCCAGCGAGAGGACUGGGGACUUGCCAGGGCUUCGCCUCUCAGAUGGCUCAGGCAGCAUCAGCCUUGUUUGGUUAUUCAGAAUGUCCCGUUUUGUGACACAGUGCUGAGAACCACCGCGACACGGCAACAAGGGCACCUUUUCGUUCCUCCUCUCCAGUACUCUACUCCGCUCAUUUUAAGUAGUAAAUGCUAAAUUCUGGAAGGACAGAGGCUGCGUAUCUGUACCACCAUGGGUGUCAGGCGAAGAACUCUGCAUGCAUUUGACCAGCACCUAGUAAGCGGCAGAGUCCAUCUCUGAGAACCAACACCAGCCAUCAGAAAGGAUGAACACCCAACUUUUGUAUCAACAUGGAUGGGACUGGAGGAGAUAAUGCUGAGUGAAGAUGGCUGGAAGCUCUGUAGUAGACAUGAAUACAACUAGGUGACUAUCAGAUCACCCUCAGCACCCCAGAAAUCCACCAGCAGACUGACUGAAUGAACUCCACAACUAAAGUAGAGAAGAGGCCACAUUGAAGAAGCUAGAAAGUACAGAGAUGUGGCUUGGGAGAAAGUGGACCAUGGCAGCUGUGGUGGGGAGGGAGCCACGGUCGCUGAGAAGGGCGAGAGAGAGACUAGCACCAGGGGAGCCCACACCGGGGAGAGGAAUCCCCGUAGCAACUGGCUUGAAAGCAAGAGUGGCUGAAUUUUAGGAAUU